rnacentral:rRNA from 1 species
UUGGAGGGCAAGUCUGGUGCCAGCAGCCGCGGUAAUUCCAGCUCCAAUAGCGUAUAUUAAAGUUGUUGCAGUUAAAAAGCUCGUAGUUGAAUUUCGGGGUUAAUAGGUUGGUCAUGCCACUGGUAUGUACUGGUCUCACUGAUUCCUCCAUCCUGAUGAGACGUAAUGCCAUUAGUUUGGUGUUGCGAGGAAUCUGGACUGUUACUUUGAAUAAAUUAGAGUGUUUAAAGCAAGCUAACGCUUGAAUACAUUAGCAUGGAAUAAUGAAAUAGGACGUUCGAUCCUAUUUUGUUGGUUUCUAGGAUUGACGUAAUGGUUAAUAGGGAUAGUUGGGGGCAUUAGUAUUCAAUUGUCAGAGGUGAAAUUCUUGGAUUUAUUGAAGACUAACUACUGCGAAAGCAUUUGCCAAGGAUGUUUUCAUUAAUCAAGAACGAAAGUUAGGGGAUCGAAGACGAUCAGAUACCGUCGUAGUCUUAACCAUAAACUAUGCCGACUAGGGAUCGGAUGAUGUUAAUUUUUUAAUGACUCAUUCGGCGCCUUACGGGAAACCAAAGUGUUUGGGUUC